AUAAUGAUAAAAGAUAAUAAUGCAUGAUAACUUGUUUACUGUUGAUAGUUGAUAGUCGUAGUGUCGACGUGUCGUACACUGGGACUUGAGUCUGCGAACAGUUGUAACAUGAUUAACUAACUAGGUAUGUCAGCAACUCAGUGAUACGCAUCAUGUCUACGUCAUCCGCCAAGGAUUUGUUAUCAGUAUUAAAUAAUUGCUUAUCAACAACACACAAUAUUGUAAUUUGUAGUAAUACAAAAUAAAUAAUUUACACUUUUGACUUUACAAUUAUUUCACUUAAUUAAUACCUAAUGUAUUUAUUGUAUUACCUAAAUAAUACCUAAUACUAUUUACGUCUUGCUGUAUGUACUAAGUAUUGGACUAUAAGUAUAGUACUAUUGGACUUAAACCAUGACAAUUAGUACUUUGUCAUGACUUAAACUAAAUUUGUGAUGUACCUGGAGUCUUUCUCAGUGUGUUUUUGGUAUGAUAUUCAUUAAAAACAACUUCAAGUACUUUUGCCACUUGUAUCAUACUUUUUGAAGGCUUAAUCAAAUUACCUUUUGACAUUUGUUCGGUCCAAGAGGAAUCAGAUCCUAUCACAUUACCAACUUUUUCGCCUAGACUUGGAUAUUUGCUCAAAAACUUUCUUGCUACUGAGCCUGUUACAUACUCCAAGCAAUCUUUUUCAAUAUCAGACAUAUGUAGCAUAAAUAGAUUGUACAUCAGCUGAUGUGGUCUCAUGGAUUCAAAACCAGGCAUAGAGUAAUGUUAUAUUCUGUGGUAAUACUAAUAUCAUAUAUUACUAAAUUCCAGAAUCCCGCCAAAAAUAUUGAUUAAAAUCCUUGGCGGCUGACGUCACAUUAUAAUGGAAUAAUCAACUUAUUACUGUUUCUUCCAUGGUUGCGCGUAUUAAUACUAGAAUAAGUAAAGUUGCUGACAUACCUAGUUAGUUAAUCAUGAGU